UACGUAGGGUGCAAGCGUUAUCCGGAAUUAUUGGGCGUAAAGAGCUCGUAGGCGGUUUGUCGCGUCUGCUGUGAAAACUGGAGGCUCAACCUCCAGCCUGCAGUGGGUACGGGCAGACUAGAGUGCGGUAGGGGAGAUUGGAAUUCCUGGUGUAGCGGUGGAAUGCGCAGAUAUCAGGAGGAACACCGAUGGCGAAGGCAGAUCUCUGGGCCGUAGCUGACACUGAGGCGCGACAGCGUGGGGAGCAAACAGGG
rnacentral:rRNA from 1 species